AGAGUUUGAUCCUGGCUCAGAACGAACGCUGGCGGCGUGUUUAAGACAUGCAAGUCGAACGGGAUGAGGUUGUAGCAAUACCGCUUCAUUCAGUGGCGCACGGGUGCGUAACACGUGAGUUACAUGCCCUGCAGUGGGGAAUAGCCCGCCGAAAGGCAGAUUAAUACCCCAUGGUCCCGCAAGGGUAAAGGUGGCGUAAGCUGCCGCUGCAGGAUUGGCUCGCGGCCUAUCAGCUUGUUGGUGAGGUAACGGCUCACCAAGGCUACGACGGGUACCUGGUCUGAGAGGAUGAUCAGGCACACUGGAACUGAGACACGGUCCAGACACCUACGGGUGGCAGCAGUCGAGAAUAAUUCACAAUGGGGGAAACCCUGAUGGUGCAACGCCGCGUGGAGGAUGAAGGUCUUCGGAUUGUAAACUCCUGUCAUCGGGGAGUAAGACCUGGCGGUAAAUAGCCGACAGGGUUGAUAGUACCCGAAGAGGAAGGGACGGCUAACUUCGUGCCAGCAGCCGCGGUAAUACGAAGGUCCCAAGCGUUGUUCGGAAUCACUGGGCGUAAAGGGAGCGUAGGCGGCGUGGUAAGUCAGAUGUGAAAUCCCGGGGCUCAACCCCGGAACUGCAUCCGAUACUGCCGUGCUUGAGGGUUGGAGAGGUAGCUGGAAUUAUCGGUGUAGCAGUGAAAUGCGUGGAUAUCGAUAGGAACACUCGUGGCGAAGGCGAGCUACUGGACAACAUCUGACGCUGAGGCUCGAAGGCUAGGGGAGCAAAAGGGAUUAGAUACCCCUGUAGUCCUAGCAGUA
rnacentral:rRNA from 1 species